ensembl:lncRNA
CUGAUGAACAACAGAAACACACUGUUAUGGCCCAUAUAAUACUGCAGGGGUAGCCAACCCUGCUCCUGGAGAACUACUAUCCUGCAGAGGUGUGUUGAAGUUGGAGUCAGAAAUCUGCAGGAAGGUAGCUCUCCAGGAACAGGGCCAGGUUGACACUAUAUGUACAAGUGAAUCUUGAAUGUUUCAACGUCUCUUCUCUUGAGUGAGAUCAACUCCUCUGCCAAAGACCUCAGCAGGUCAUCUGUGAGAGGUCCAUCACCAACCUCCUCUAAAAGCCUCUGGUACAAAGGUGACGCCGUUCCGUCACUUGUCCAGGUGUUGAUAAGGGGCUGUGAUGGCAAUUUGGUCGCAUAUGAUAUUUCAGAUGUGCUCUGCUGGACAGUUCCACAAGCAGAGAUUACAAGGACAUGGCAUUUAUUCUCUGGAGAAGAACUGUCUGCGCUAAGAUUCUCAUAAACUGGAGUUGCAAACAUUUCGUAGAUUGCUGGACCUUCAUCUCCCUGACUGAGCUUCAGAAACAUGUCUUUGUCCUUCAGAGAAAGUGCAGCAGUUCAUACUUGGAGACUUUCUCUGAAAAUCAGAGUUUUCUGUUGUUUUGAAAGACUUGCAUCUUAUUUCAUUCUUGACGACUUUCCUAACAGUCAAUGAUUUGGUAGAUGUGUAGCCUUUCUUGUCUGAAAUGACAUUAUCGUUUGUAGUGUUGUGUAUUACAGAACUCCCUAAAUCCUGAAAAUCCAAAUAGGUCCCCAGUUCCAGAUUGAGUGACUUCUCUAAGAUCCUUUCCACUCUUCGUCUGGACUGUGAUGAGAUGGGCAAGAUGCUACUUUGUUUUAAGAGAAGUGGGUGCUCAAGACUUGAACAUGCAGAGCCAUCCUUAUAUAUAUUGUCCAGCGGAGCAAGAUGUUUGGGUGUCUUUGAACAUAGAGUAGGUAGUGUCUGGAAAUCACAGCACAGCAAUCAAAAUGGUAUUAAAGGCAAGACUUUUUGCAUUUAUUAAAAGCAUUUCCUCACCUUUUGUCUGUUAUCGUCAUCCCCUGUGUGAGCACCUCUAAGCCCUGUAGUUAAUUGAAAACUUUUAUUAUAAGAUUUUCUUUCUUAUAACCUCUUCACCAAUUCUUUUUUCAUUACAAUCAAAGUUGCACACACACACUAAAACUUAAAUAUAGAGUUGCCAAUAGUUACGUUAAGCGAAUGUGUCCUCAAUUUUGGUGACUCCGCAGCCACAAAUGUAGGCAACCUAUGUUUGUUUGAAAACUAUCCCUUGAGCAUCCCAUAAUCCUCUUUCUCAUGGAUUGUACAAAGUAUUAGUGAAGGUCUCUUUUAAUGCUUAGUCUUCUGAUGACAAUAUACCCUAAGCUCCUUCAUUCAUUCUCAGACUGAUCUGGUGAGAAUCUGUCCACAAACAAACAUGUCUGUUGGCAUUGGUCAGCAUCUAUCGGUGCAGUGUGAAAUAGCCUUAACUAGUGAACCCACUUACAUUUUGGCUGACUGUGCUCAUUUAUUCGCUGAAAUCUGUCAAACCACAUUAUGCUUCACAAUGUAUCUAAUAAUCAGUGUCUGUAUUUUGUUUUAAUGCAAUUCUUUCACAAUAAACAACUGUCUAUACUUACA